rnacentral:rRNA from 1 species
AUUGAACGCUGGCGGCAUGCCUUACACAUGCAAGUCGAACGGCAGCACGGGGCAACCUGGUGGCGAGUGGCGAACGGGUGAGUAAUGCAUCGGAACGUGCCAUUGAGUGGGGGAUAACGUAGCGAAAGUUGCGCUAAUACCGCAUAUUCUGUGAGCAGGAAAGCAGGGGGACCGCAAGGCCUUGCGUUCUGGGAGCGGCCGAUGUCGGAUUAGCUAGUUGGUGGGGUAAAAGCCUACCAAGGCGACGAUCCGUAGCGGGUCUGAGAGGAUGAUCCGCCACACUGGGACUGAGACACGGCCCAGACUCCUACGGGAGGCAGCAGUGGGGAAUUUUGGGACAAUGGGCGGAAGCCUGAUCCAGCCAUGCCGCGUGAGUGAAGAAGGCCUCGGUGUAAG